rnacentral:misc_RNA from 1 species
AAGUCGUAACAAGGUUUCCGUAGGUGAACCUGCGGAAGGAUCAUUAUGAAUCAGUAGCUUGCUACUGCGCUGGGGGAGAUGGGAAAGUCCUGGCUGAAAAGUUAGUGUACCGGUACCUGCACCCCUAUCAUACCCUUGUCUUUUAAGCACUUAUGUUUCCUUGGUGGGCUUGCCUGCCGAUAGGACAACUUUUAAACCUUUUAAUAUGUCAAUCAGCGUCUGAAAAAUAAUUAAUAAUUACAACUUUCAACAACGGAUCUCUUGGUUCUG